rnacentral:ncRNA from 2 species
GACAAGACAAAGGGGAGCCGGAGGCAGUCCGGCUGAGAGUAGGACCGUGUGUGUCCUUUACCCUGAAACCUGAUCCGGAUCAUGCCGGCGUAGGGACCAUAUCUGAGAGAUGGAG